rnacentral:rRNA from 1 species
GAGAGUUUGAUCCUGGCUCAGGAUGAACGCUAGCUACAGGCUUAACACAUGCAAGUCGAGGGGCAGCAUGGUCUUAGCUUGCUAAGGCCGAUGGCGACCGGCGCACGGGUGAGUAACGCGUAUCCAACCUGCCUUACACUCUUGGACAGCCUUCUGAAAGGGAGAUUAAUACAAGAUGUUAUCAUGAGUAAGCAUUUUCGCAUGAUUAAAGGUUUACCGGUGUAAGAUGGGGAUGCGUUCCAUUAGAUAGUAGGCGGGGUAACGGCCCACCUAGUCUUCGAUGGAUAGGGGUUCUGAGAGGAAGGUCCCCCACAUUGGAACUGAGACACGGUCCAAACUCCUACGGGAGGCAGCAGUGAGGAAUAUUGGUCAAUGGACGAGAGUCUGAACCAGCUAAGUAGCGUGAAGGAUGAAGGUUCUAUGGAUUGUAAACUUCUUUUAUACGGGAAUAAACGAAUCCACGCGUGGAUUUUUGCAUGUACCGUAUGAAUAAGGAUCGGCUAACUCCGUGCCAGCAGCCGCGGUAAUACGGAGGAUCCGAGCGUUAUCCGGAUUUAUUGGGUUUAAAGGGAGCGUAGAUGGGUUGUUAAGUCAGUUGUGAAAGUUUGCGGCUCAACCGUAAAAUUGCAAUUGAUACUGGCAGUCUUGAGUACAGUUGAGGUAGGCGGAAUUCGUGGUGUAGCGGUGAAAUGCUUAGAUAUCACGAAGAACUCCGAUUGCGAAGGCAGCUUACUAACCUGUAACUGACAUUGAUGCUCGAAAGUGUGGGUAUCAAACAGGAUUAGAUACCCUGGUAGUCCACACGGUAAACGAUGAAUACUCGCUGUAGGCGAUAUACAGUCUGCGGCCAAGCGAAAGCAUUAAGUAUUCCACCUGGGGAGUACGCCGGCAACGGUGAAACUCAAAGGAAUUGACGGGGGCCCGCACAAGCGGAGGAACAUGUGGUUUAAUUCGAUGAUACGCGAGGAACCUUACCCGGGCUUAAAUUGCAACCGAAUAUGGCGGAAACGCUAUAGCUAGCAAUAGCGGUUGUGAAGGUGCUGCAUGGUUGUCGUCAGCUCGUGCCGUGAGGUGUCGGCUUAAGUGCCAUAACGAGCGCAACCCUUGCCGAUAGUUACUAACAGGUCAUGCUGAGGACUCUGUCGGGACUGCCAUCGUAAGAUGUGAGGAAGGUGGGGAUGACGUCAAAUCAGCACGGCCCUUACGUCCGGGGCUACACACGUGUUACAAUGGGGGGUACAGAGGGCUGCUACCACGCAAGUGGAUGCCAAUCCCAAAAACCUCUCUCAGUUCGGAUUGAAGUCUGCAACCCGACUUCAUGAAGCUGGAUUCGCUAGUAAUCGCGCAUCAGCCACGGCGCGGUGAAUACGUUCCCGGGCCUUGUACACACCGCCCGUCAAGCCAUGGGAGCCGGGGGUACCUGAAGUGCGUAACCGCAAGGAGCGCCCUAGGGUAAAACUGGUGACUGGGGCUAAGUCGUAACAAGGUAGCCG